CCUACGGGUGGCUGCAGUGGGGAAUAUUGGGCAAUGGGCGAAAGCCUGACCCAGCAACGCCGCGUGAAGGAAGAAGGCUUUCGGGUUGUAAACUUCUUUUGACAGGGAAGAGCAGAAGACGGUACCUGUCGAAUAAGCCCCGGCUAACUACGUGCCAGCAGCCGCGGUAAUACGUAGGGGGCAAGCGUUAUCCGGAUUUACUGGGUGUAAAGGGAGCGUAGACGGUGCGCCAAGUCUGGAGUGAAAUGCCGCAGCUUAACUGCGGAACUGCUUUGGAAACUGGCGAACUAGAGUGCGGGAGGGGUAAGCGGAAUUCCUAGUGUAGCGGUGAAAUGCGUAGAUAUCAGGAGGAACACCGGUGGCGAAGGCGGCUUACUGGACCAUAACUGACGUUGAGGCUCGAAAGCGUGGGGAGCGAACAGGAUUAGAUACCCCAGUAGUC
rnacentral:rRNA from 1 species